CUCAAUUUGGGAGGAAGAACCGGUAAUAAGCAAAAAACCAUCCAUUCAGGUUCUACAUUUGUUUGAAUAAAAUGUUUCGCCAAUUGCAUGCGUCUAAUCAAAAAAACUUUUCUUAUUCAUCUUUUUCUAUCUUCCCAUUCAUCU